ACGGGUGAGUAACACGUGGGUAACCUGCCCAAGAGACUGGGAUAACACCUGGAAACAGAUGCUAAUACCGGAUAACAACACUAGACGCAUGUCUAGAGUUUAAAAGAUGGUUCUGCUAUCACUCUUGGAUGGACCUGCGGUGCAUUAGCUAGUUGGUAAGGUAACGGCUUACCAAGGCAGUGAUGCAUAGCCGAGUUGAGAGACUGAUCGGCCACAUUGGGACUGAGACACGGCCCAAACUCCUACGGGAGGCAGCAGUAGGGAAUCUUCCACAAUGGACGCAAGUCUGAUGGAGCAACGCCGCGUGAGUGAAGAAGGGUUUCGGCUCGUAAAGCUCUGUUGGUAGUGAAGAAAGAUAGAGGUAGUAACUGGCCUUUAUUUGACGGUAAUUACCUAGAAAGUCACGGCUAACUACGUGCCAGCAGCCGCGGUAAUACGUAGGUGGCAAGCGUUGUCCGGAUUUAUUGGGCGUAAAGCGAGUGCAGGCGGUUCAAUAAGUCUGAUGUGAAAGCCUUCGGCUCAACCGGAGAAUUGCAUCAGAAACUGUUGAACUUGAGUGCAGAAGAGGAGAGUGGAACUCCAUGUGUAGCGGUGGAAUGCGUAGAUAUAUGGAAGAACACCAGUGGCGAAGGCGGCUCUCUGGUCUGCAACUGACGCUGAGGCUCGAAAGCAUGGGUAGCGAACAGGAUUAGAUACCCUGGUAGUCCAUGCCGUAAACGAUGAGUGCUAAGUGUUGGGAGGUUUCCGCCUCUCAGUGCUGCAGCUAACG
rnacentral:rRNA from 1 species